ACGAACGCUGGCGGCGUGCUUAACACAUGCAAGUCGAACGGAAAGGCCCUGCUUGCAGGGUACUCGAGUGGCGAACGGGUGAGUAACACGUGGGUGAUCUGCCCUGCACUUCGGGAUAAGCCUGGGAAACUGGGUCUAAUACCGGAUAGGAGCCAUUUUUAGUGUGAUGGUUGGAAAGUUUUUUCGGUGUAGGAUGAGCUCGCGGCCUAUCAGCUUGUUGGUGGGGUAGUGGCCUACCAAGGCGGUGACGGGUAGCCGGCCUGAGAGGGUGGACGGCCACAUUGGGACUGAGAGACGGCCCAGACUCCUACGGGAGGCAGCAGUGGGGAAUAUUGCACAAUGGGCGCAAGCCUGAUGCAGCGACGCCGCGUGGGGGAUGACGGCCUUCGGGUUGUAAACUCCUUUCGCUAGGGACGAAGCUUUUUGUGACGGUACCUAGAUAAGAAGCACCGGCUAACUACGUG
rnacentral:rRNA from 1 species